CCAAAGAAGGGGAAACGAAACCCUGCCGAAAGGCGGGCGUAAUGUCCCAUAAGACCACAGGGCGGCAUCGUCCAGGGGUCAAAGCUCCGCAAGGGGCGCUAGGAGAGGAGCCUGAGUCCUAUCAUGGUAGUUGGUGAGGUAAUGGCUCACCAAGCCGUUGACGGGUAGCCGGCCUGAAAGGGUGACCGGCCACACUGGCACUGAGACACGGGCCAG
rnacentral:rRNA from 1 species